rnacentral:rRNA from 1 species
UGCGUAGGUGGCAAGCGUUGUCCGGAUUUACUGGGCGUAAAGAGCGCGCAGGCGGUCGUUCAAGUCGCGUGUGAAAGCCCCCGGCUCAACUGGGGAGGGUCACGCGAUACUGAUCGACUCGAAGGCAGGAGAGGGAAGUGGAAUUCCCGGUGUAGUGGUGAAAUGCGUAGAUAUCGGGAGGAACACCAGUGGCGAAGGCGACUUCCUGGCCUGUUCUUGACGCUGAGGCGCGAAAGCUAGGGGAGCAAACGGGG